AUUGAACGCUGGCGGCAUGCCUUACACAUGCAAGUCGAACGGCAGCACGGGAGCAAUCCUGGUGUCGAGUGGCGAACGGGUGAGUAAUACAUCGGAACGUGCCCAGUAGUGGGGGAUAACCCGGCGAAAGCCGGACUAAUACCGCAUACGACCUACGGGUGAAAGCGGGGGAUCGCAAGACCUCGCGCUAUCGGAGCGGCCGAUGUCAGAUUAGCUAGUUGGUGGGGUAAAGGCCUACCAAGGCGACGAUCUGUAGCUGGUCUGAGAGGACGACCAGCCACACUGGGACUGAGACACGGCCCAGACUCCUACGGGAGGCAGCAGUGGGGAAUUUUGGGCAAUGGGCGCAAGCCUGAUCCAGCCAUGCCGCGUGCGGGAAGAAGGCCUUCGGGUUGUAAACCGCUUUUGUCAGGGAAGAAACGCUCCGGGCUAAUACCACGGAGUAAUGACGGUACCUGAAGAAUAAGCACCGGCUAACUACGUG
rnacentral:rRNA from 1 species